UACAGAGGGUGCAAGCGUUAAUCGGAAUUACUGGGCGUAAAGCGUGCGUAGGCGGUUAUUUAAGUCAGGUGUGAAAGCCCAGGGCUCAACCUUGGAAUUGCAUUUGAGACUGAAUAGCUAGGGUGCGGAAGAGGGAAGCGGAAUUUCCGGUGUAGCGGUGAAAUGCGUAGAUAUCGGAAGGAACACCAGUGGCGAAGGCGGCUAACUGGGCAUUAUCUGACGCUGAGGCGCGAAAGCGUGGGUAGCAAACAGG
rnacentral:rRNA from 1 species